rnacentral:rRNA from 1 species
CCUACGGGAGGCAGCAGUGGGGAAUUUUCCGCAAUGGGCGAAAGCCUGACGGAGCAACGCCGCGUGGGUGAUGAAGUCUUUCGGGACGUAAAACCCUUUCAGCAGGGACGAACAAAAUGACGGUACCUGCAGAAGAAGCAUCGGCUAACUACGUGCCAGCAGCCGCGGUAAUACGUAGGAUGCGAGCGUUGUCCGGAUUUAUUGGGCGUAAAGCGAACGUAGGCGGUUUCUUAAGUUUGGUCUUAAAGACCGGGGCUCAACCCCGGGAGUGGACUGAAUACUGGGAGACUAGAGGAUGUUAGAGGAAAGUGGAAUUCCAAGUGUAGCGGUGAAAUGCGUAGAUAUUUGGAGGAACACCAGUGGCGAAAGCGGCUUUCUGGGACAUUUCUGACGCUGAGGUUCGAAAGCUCGGGGAGCAAACAGGAUUAGAUACCCUGGUAGUCCGAGCCGUAAACGAUGGACACUAGGUGUCGGGGGUAUCGACCCCCCGGUCGCGUACGNACACGUAGUAGUCCGCCCUGGAGGUACGGUCGGCAGAACUGAACGUACAAGGAAAAGUUAGUACGGACCGUGAGGACGUGCCGAAACCGGACGACCAACCGAACGGGGGAAGGGGUUAAGGUAGG